CACUUGAUUACUUUUCUCAAAUUCUAAAUCUCUUAUUCGGAUGUCCGUAUAACUUUUCUGUCUACUCUGAGCUGUCUGUAUGUUCUUCCUAAUUUUAAUUAUCUUCGUUGUGGUCUCAUCUACAAGGUAUGGCCAAUCAAUUUUUUAUCACCCAUCUUUUCUGAACAGAUCGACGAUUUCAAUACCUUCUUGAUAACUGUUAUU
rnacentral:lncRNA from 1 species